rnacentral:rRNA from 1 species
GAUGAACGCUGGCGGCGUGCCUAAUACAUGCAAGUCGAGCGAACAGAUGAGGAGCUUGCUCCUCUGACGUUAGCGGCGGACGGGUGAGUAACACGUGGAUAACCUACCUAUAAGACUGGGAUAACUUCGGGAAACCGGAGCUAAUACCGGAUAAUAUAUUGAACCGCAUGGUUCAAUAGUGAAAGACCGUUUUGCUGUCACUUAUAGAUGGAUCCGCGCCGCAUUAGCUAGUUGGUAAGGUAACGGCUUACCAAGGCAGCGAUGCGUAGCCGACCUGAGAGGGUGAUCGGCCACACUGGAACUGAGACACGGUCCAGACUCCUACGGGAGGCAGCAGUAGGGAAUCUUCCGCAAUGGGCGAAAGCCUGACGGAGCAACGCCGCGUGAGUGAUGAAGGUCUUCGGAUCGUAAAACUCUGUUAUUAGGGAAGAACAAAUGUGUAAGUAACUAUGCACGUCUUGACGGUACCUAAUCAGAAAGCCACGGCUAACUACGUG